rnacentral:rRNA from 1 species
GUGGGGAAUUUUGGACAAUGGGGGCAACCCUGAUCCAGCCAUGCCGCGUGAGUGAAGAAGGCCUUCGGGUUGUAAAGCUCUUUUGGCGGGAACGAAAUCGCUCUUCUGAAUACGGGGGGCGGAUGACGGUACUCGCAGAAUAAGCACCGGCUAACUACGUGCCAGCAGCCGCGGUAAUACGUAGGGUGCGAGCGUUAAUCGGAAUUACUGGGCGUAAAGCGUGCGCAGGCGGCUCUUUAAGUCAGAUGUGAAAGCCCCGGGCUUAACCUGGGAACUGCGUUUGAAACUGGAGAGCUGGAGUGUGGCAGAGGAAGGUGGAAUUCCUGGUGUAGCAGUGAAAUGCGUAGAGAUCAGGAGGAACACCGAUGGCGAAGGCAGCCUUCUGGGCCAACACUGACGCUCAUGCACGAAAGCGUGGGGAGCAAACAGGAUUAGAAACCCCAGUAGUCC